rnacentral:lncRNA from 1 species
CCUUUGCGUGCUCAAAGACAGAGUCAGCCUUUGGACGGUGCCAUUUGCUGACUUGGACUCUCUCUCUCCUCUCUGAUUAGCUGAUGGAGUAUACAUUUCUAUAUUUGUCUUUCAACACACAGCUUUUUUAGCUUUUUCUAACUUUCAAACCAUCACCCACCCCUCUCUCUCGGACCAGUGAACAAUUCCUGUCUUUACCGUUUGAAUUUUCUGCUUCUCUCUAUCUCGGAGGUUGCAACUACCCAUGCUUAAUUUUUUUCUCCUUUCACUAUACCAACAGUAUUUCCCCUCAUCCUAGUUUCUGCAAAAUUCCUUUUUUUAUUUACCUCUUGAAAAUUAAAAACUUGAAGAAAGGGCUGUUUGGUUGUUGGGUUUAUGUUGUGUAGUUAAAAUAUUGACUUUUGGAUAUCCGUUUAGUUGGGUCAACCACUUUCGCCUUUUGCUUCAGAAUUUGCUGCUGCCAUAUCGACCCUUUUGGGAUUCAAAAGCUUGACGAUUUGUUCCUAGGGUUUAUGGAUGUGCCCUUUUUCCCCCUCUUUCGUACAUGAUUGGGGCUCGAGUUAUCAUUAGGUUAGCUCUUUUCCAUGUUUACCCUUGCUUGCCUACCUUCUUUUUCCCUUCUUGCUAUUAUUAAUUGUUGUUGUUGGCGUUGAAUUUGUGCCGAAGCACGUUGAAGCAAGGCUAAAUUUUAAGUCUUUGUAGACUUGGUAAAUAGAAUUUGUUCCGUGUAGUUGCUCUUGUUCUGGUUGGUAAGUGGUAACUGGUAACUGAGAAAUGAAAUGAUUUUUUCUUUUUCGUACUCACAUCUCGUGAUGAUUAGUAUAAAAUUAAAUGAUAGUAUUACUUACUGGUUUCUGAGUGGAUAUCUUUGCAUUAUUUUAAAAAAAUAAUUCUUCUAAUUUUAUGAGCUUCCGAUUGAGGUAUAGUAGUUGUGUUUUUUGUUUUACGAGUUUCAUAAUUUGAUGCCUUCCACUCACUAAGUUGAUAAUUUCAUCUUUUAGAAGUAUCCGAGGGGCAACCGGAAAUAGCUUCUCUACCACAUUCAUAAAGUAGGGGUAAGAUUUACAUACAUACUACCCUCCCCAAAUUCCACUUGUGAAAAAUUGGGAAUAUACUGGCUAUGUUGUUGUUGUAAUAUGUACCAAGGCAAUUUUACGCACUAAAUGAUUUUCUUGCUUAUUAUAACUAUUUAAUAGCAGACUUCAAAUUUAGUUUACCCCAAAAAUGCCGAGAAGACAUGUUUGUAUAUGCAACUGAUGCUGAUUGCAAUCUUAGAGGGUGUGAUAAUUACAUUUCUGGCUUAGUGUACCAUGUCA